UACGAAGGGGGCUAGCGUUGCUCGGAAUUACUGGGCGUAAAGCGCACGUAGGCGGCUUUCUAAGUCGGGGGUGAAAUCCUGGAGCUCAACUCCAGAACUGCCUUCGAUACUGGAAGCUCGAGUCCGGGAGAGGUGAGUGGAACCGCGAGUGUAGAGGUGAAAUUCGUAGAUAUUCGCAAGAACACCAGUGGCGAAGGCGGCUCACUGGCCCGGUACUGACGCUGAGGUGCGAAAGCGUGGGGAGCAAACAGG
rnacentral:rRNA from 1 species